rnacentral:sRNA from 1 species
UCUCUUGUGGAGAAUGAUGAUAAUAUUGAUGCUUUAUCAAGCUCUUUUAGCUCUUUAAAGCUAGAAACCGAAAAGCCGUUGUCCGAAGCCUUUAAGCAAGCAACUAAGAAGCCGCUCCCCGAUGUCUCUAAACCAGCCUCGAAGCCAGCAACUGAGAAGAGCCUUCCCGAAGUCUCGAAGGAAGCCUUCCAGCCAGCAAUAGAGAAGUCACUUUUUGGGGCGUUUAAGCUGGCAACUAAGAAGCCACUCUUUGGACUCUUUGGGGCGUCCAAGCCAGCGCCUGAGAAGCCUCUAAUAUUUGGGCCGUCUAAGCCUGUGCCUGAGAAACCUCUGGUAUUUGGGCCAUCUAAGCCAGCGCCUGAGAAGCCUCUAAUAUUUGGGCCAUCUAAGCCGGUGCCUGAGAAACCUCUGGUAUUUGGGCCGUCUAAGUGUGGUUCUAAUUAAUGGGUUAACUGCUGUUUUUACUCCUUUUUUAGUUAGUGAGAUGCAUUGUGGGAGCCCCAUACUUUCCGCCGCCGCAGCGCCAUUCACGCGCUUGAAGCCUCCACCUUAACAGAUUCCCUAUAUGUUUUCUACGCAGCGAAGCUGCAGUCCCUUUCCUGUGUUAGCUACGGCAGGUCUUCUUGUUUUGUUUUUGCCUGUUCUUUUGUCCUUAGUUAAAUGCUAGACCUAGAUUGAAUACAGUCCUUUCUGCUUACUUGCAGCUGUUUCUUGUUCAGUGCCGCCUAACGCGCACCACCCACGCCCACCUCGUUAAUGGUUUAUACAUAUAUAUGUGUGUGCUUCUUGCUGUUAAAGUCUUACUGUAUUUCAUAAUUCUUGCUAUUAGUCUCUUUUAUAUUGUAAUUACUUUUUAAUUACCAGCGUCGUCCGUCAUUAGCAUCGUUAGAAUGCUAAUAACUAAUGACAUCUUUUUUGCCUAUAUAUUCUUUAUGGCCC